GCGGAAGUGGCGGAAUUGGUAGACGCGCAGGCCUCAGGAGUCUGUGGCCCAAAAGGCCAUGUGGGUUCGUCUCCCACCUUCCGCACCA
rnacentral:tRNA from 1 species